AGUGGCGGACGGGUGAGUAACGCGUGGGUAACCUGCCCUGUACAGGGGGAUAACAGUUGGAAACGGCUGCUAAUACCGCAUAAGCGCACGGCAUCGCAUGAUGCAGUGUGAAAAACUCCGGUGGUAUAAGAUGGACCCGCGUUGGAUUAGCUAGUUGGUGAGGUAACGGCCCACCAAGGCAACGAUCCAUAGCCGACCUGAGAGGGUGACCGGCCACAUUGGGACUGAGACACGGCCCAGACUCCUACGGGAGGCAGCAGUGGGGGAUAUUGCACAAUGGGGGAAACCCUGAUGCAGCGACGCCGCGUGGAGGAAGAAGGUUUUCGGAUUGUAAACUCCUGUCGUUAGGGACGAUAAUGACGGUACCUAACAAGAAAGCACCGGCUAACUACGUGCCAGCAGCCGCGGUAAAACGUAGGGUGCAAGCGUUGUCCGGAAUUACUGGGUGUAAAGGGAGCGCAGGCGGGAAGACAAGUUGGAAGUGAAAACCAUGGGCUCAACCCAUGAAUUGCUUUCAAAACUGUUUUUCUUGAGUAGUGCAGAGGUAGAUGGAAUUCCCGGUGUAGCGGUGGAAUGCGUAGAUAUCGGGAGGAACACCAGUGGCGAAGGCGGUCUACUGGGCACCAACUGACGCUGAGGCUCGAAAGCAUGGGUAGCAAACAGGAUUAGAUACCCUGGUAGUCCAUGCCGUAAACGAUGAUUACUAGGUGUUGGGGGAUUGACCCCCUCAGUGCCGCAGUUAACACAAUAAGUAAUCCACCUGGGGAGUACGACCGCAAGGUUGAAACUCAAAGGAAUUGACGGGGGCCCGCACAAGCAGUGGAGUAUGUGGUUUAAUUCGAAGCAACGCGAAGAACCUUACCAGGUCUUGACAUCCGAUGCAUAGCACAGAGAUGUGUGAAAUCCUUCGGGACAUCGAGACAGGUGGUGCAUGGUUGUCGUCAGCUCGUGUCGUGAGAUGUUGGGUUAAGUCCCGCAACGAGCGCAACCCUUAUUGCCAGUUACUACGUUAAGAGGACUCUGGCGAGACUGCCGUUGACAAAACGGAGGAAGGUGGGGAUGACGUCAAAUCAUCAUGCCCUUUAUGACCUGGGCUACACACGUACUACAAUGGCGUUAAACAAAGAGAAGCAAGACCGCGAGGUGGAGCAAAACUCAAAAACAACGUCUCAGUUCAGAUUGCAGGCUGCAACUCGCCUGCAUGAAGUCGGAAUUGCUAGUAAUCGCGGAUCAGCAUGCCGCGGUGAAUACGUUCCCGGGCCUUGCACACACCGCCCGUCA
rnacentral:rRNA from 1 species